rnacentral:rRNA from 1 species
AGCGUACACGGUGGAUGCCCUGGCAGUCAGAGGCGAUGAAGGACGUGCUAAUCUGCGAAAAGCGUCGGUAAGGUGAUAUGAACCGUUAUAACCGGCGAUGUCCGAAUGGGGAAACCCAGUGCAAUUCGUUGCACUAUCGUUAACUGAAUACAUAGGUUAACGAGGCGAACCGGGGGAACUGAAACAUCUAAGUACCCCGAGGAAAAGAAAUCAACCGAGAUUCCCCCAGUAGCGGCGAGCGAACGGGGAGCAGCCCAGAGUCUGAAUCAGCUUGUGUGUUAGUGGAACGGUCUGGAAAGUCCGACGGUACAGGGUGAUAGUCCCGUACACCAAAAUGCACAGGUUGUGAACUCGAAGAGUAGGGCGGGACACGUGGUAUCCUGUCUGAAUAUGGGGGGACCAUCCUCCAAGGCUAAAUACUCCUGACUGACCGAUAGUGAACCAGUACCGUGAGGGAAAGGCGAAAAGAACCCCGGCGAGGGGAGUGAAAAAGAACCUGAAACCGUGUACGUACAAGCAGUGGGAGCACCUUCGGGUGUGACUGCGUACCUUUUGUAUAAUGGGUCAGCGACUUAUAUUCUGUAGCAAGGUUAACCGUAUAGGGGAGCCGCAGGGAAACCGAGUCUUAACUGGGCGUUAAGUUGCAGGGUAUAGACCCGAAACCCGGUGAUCUAGCCAUGGGCAGGUUGAAGGUUGGGUAACACUAACUGGAGGACCGAACCGACUAAUGUUGAAAAAUUAGCGGAUGACUUGUGGCUGGGGGUGAAAGGCCAAUCAAACCGGGAGAUAGCUGGUUCUCCCCGAAAGCUAUUUAGGUAGCGCCUCGUGAAUUCAUCUUCGGGGGUAGAGCACUGUUUCGGCUAGGGGGUCAUCCCGACUUACCAACCCGAUGCAAACUACGAAUACCGAAGAAUGUUAUCACGGGAGACACACGGCGGGUGCUAACGUCCGUCGUGAAGAGGGAAACAACCCAGACCGCCAGCUAAGGUCCCAAAGUCAUGGUUAAGUGGGAAACGAUGUGGGAAGGCACAGACAGCCAGGAUGUUGGCUUAGAAGCAGCCAUCAUUUAAAGAAAGCGUAAUAGCUCACUGGUCGAGUCGGCCUGCGCGGAAGAUGUAACGGGGCUAAACCAUGCACCGAAGCUGCGGCAGCGACACUAUGUGUUGUUGGGUAGGGGAGCGUUCUGUAAGCCUGCGAAGGUGUGCUGUGAGGCAUGCUGGAGGUAUCAGAAGUGCGAAUGCUGACAUAAGUAACGAUAAAGCGGGUGAAAAGCCCGCUCGCCGGAAGACCAAGGGUUCCUGUCCAACGUUAAUCGGGGCAGGGUGAGUCGACCCCUAAGGCGAGGCCGAAAGGCGUAGUCGAUGGGAAACAGGUUAAUAUUCCUGUACUUGGUGUUACUGCGAAGGGGGGACGGAGAAGGCUAUGUUAGCCGGGCGACGGUUGUCCCGGUUUAAGCAUGUAGGCUGGUUAUCCAGGCAAAUCCGGAUAAUCAAGGCUGAGGUGUGAUGACGAGGCACUACGGUGCUGAAGUAACAAAUGCCCUGCUUCCAGGAAAAGCCUCUAAGCAUCAGGUAACAUCAAAUCGUACCCCAAACCGACACAGGUGGUCAGGUAGAGAAUACCAAGGCGCUUGAGAGAACUCGGGUGAAGGAACUAGGCAAAAUGGUGCCGUAACUUCGGGAGAAGGCACGCUGGUGUGUAGGUGAAGUCCCUGCGGAUGGAGCUGAGACCAGUCGAAGAUACCAGCUGGCUGCAACUGUUUAUUAAAAACACAGCACUGUGCAAACACGAAAGUGGACGUAUACGGUGUGACGCCUGCCCGGUGCCGGAAGGUUAAUUGAUGGGGUUAUCCGUAAGGAGAAGCUCUUGAUCGAAGCCCCGGUAAACGGCGGCCGUAACUAUAACGGUCCUAAGGUAGCGAAAUUCCUUGUCGGGUAAGUUCCGACCUGCACGAAUGGCGUAAUGAUGGCCAGGCUGUCUCCACCCGAGACUCAGUGAAAUUGAACUCGCUGUGAAGAUGCAGUGUACCCGCGGCAAGACGGAAAGACCCCGUGAACCUUUACUAUAGCUUGACACUGAACAUUGAGCCUUGAUGUGUAGGAUAGGUGGGAGGCUUUGAAGCGUGGACGCCAGUCUGCGUGGAGCCAACCUUGAAAUACCACCCUUUAAUGUUUGAUGUUCUAACGUUGGCCCCUGACCGGGGUUGCGGACAGUGUCUGGUGGGUAGUUUGACUGGGGCGGUCUCCUCCCAAAGCGUAACGGAGGAGCACGAAGGUUAGCUAAUCCUGGUCGGACAUCAGGAGGUUAGUGCAAUGGCAUAAGCUAGCUUGACUGCGAGCGUGACGGCGCGAGCAGGUGCGAAAGCAGGUCAUAGUGAUCCGGUGGUUCUGAAUGGAAGGGCCAUCGCUCAACGGAUAAAAGGUACUCCGGGGAUAACAGGCUGAUACCGCCCAAGAGUUCAUAUCGACGGCGGUGUUUGGCACCUCGAUGUCGGCUCAUCACAUCCUGGGGCUGAAGUAGGUCCCAAGGGUAUGGCUGUUCGCCAUUUAAAGUGGUACGCGAGCUGGGUUUAGAACGUCGUGAGACAGUUCGGUCCCUAUCUGCCGUGGGCGCUGGAGAAUUGAGGGGGGCUGCUCCUAGUACGAGAGGACCGGAGUGGACGCAUCACUGGUGUUCGGGUUGUCAUGCCAAUGGCACUGCCCGGUAGCUAAAUGCGGAAGAGAUAAGUGCUGAAAGCAUCUAAGCACGAAACUUGCCCCGAGAUGAGUUCU